rnacentral:rRNA from 1 species
GACGAACGCUGGCGGCGUGCUUAACACAUGCAAGUCGAACGCUGAAGCCCAGCUUGCUGGGUGGAUGAGUGGCGAACGGGUGAGUAACACGUGAGUAACCUGCCCCCUUCUUUGGGAUAACGCCCGGAAACGGGUGCUAAUACUGGAUAUUCACUGAUCUUCGCAUGGGGGUUGGUGGAAAGGUUUUUUCUGGUGGGGGAUGGGCUCGCGGCCUAACAGCUUGUUUGGUGGGUGAUGGCCUACCAAGGCUUUUACCGGUAGCUGGUCUGAAAGGAUGACCCGUCACUUUGGGACUGAAAUUCGGUC